UACGAAGGGGGCUAGCGUUGUUCGGAAUCACUGGGCGUAAAGGGCGCGUAGGCGGCCGAUCAAGUCGGGGGGUGAAAGCCUGUGGCUCAACCACAAAAUUGCCUUCGAUACUGUUUGGCUUGAGACCGGAAGAGGUUAGUGGAACUGCGAGUGUAGAGGUGAAAUUCGUAGAUAUUCGCAAGAACACCAGUGGCGAAGGCGGCUGACUGGUCCGGGUUCUGACGCUGAGGCACGAAAGCGUGGGGAGCAAACAGGG
rnacentral:rRNA from 1 species